AUACGUAGGGAGCAAGCGUUGUCCGGAUUUACUGGGUGUAAAGGGCGCGUAGGCGGACUUGUUAGUCAGAGGUGAAAUCCUGCGGCUUAACCGUAGAACUGCCUUUGAUACUGCAAGUCUUGAGUUCGGAAGAGAGAGAUGGAAUUCCAGGUGUAGUGGUGAAAUACGUAGAUAUCUGGAAGAACACCAGUGGCGAAGGCGGUCUCUUGGUCCGUAACUGACGCUGAGGCGCGAAAGCGUGGGGAGCAAACAGGAUUAGAAACCCCAGUAGUCC
rnacentral:rRNA from 1 species